ensembl:lncRNA
AGACAGUGUCAAAGCUCCAUCUGUGAAAACAGUAAACACACUGACUCACACUCUCUAAGUGACUGCCAUUGAUACCAGACGAGAGAGCGCUGCAGAUACACACAAAAAUAUAGCACACAGGGCUACAGUUACUGUUUGUUUUCAUCUCAUUACAGUGACAGGAGCACGGCAACCCCAGAGGGGAGGCGGAUAAUAGUCCAGUUUUAUUUUUUCUCCACUAAUGGCCCAGCAGGGGGUUCAAAUUGAUUGACGGACGUAGCUCCAGUAUACUCCUGAACACUCCUGGACAGACCAGUCUUCUGUGGCUGCAGUGCAGAGUCUGCUGACGGUGUCUCUGCUUAUCGGCGGCGUCAUGCGUGUGUAGGGUCGGACAUCCGAGGUAACCAAAAUGUUUAUGUUUAUUGUUAUCGUUCUGUUGCUUGAUUGUGGUUAAACAUUUCUUUGUUUCAUUACAGCUUUGCCUCUGUUGCCUUGUCUUUUUGCUUGUUUAUUUUGUUGUUUCUUUUAGUUUGUAGUUGUUUUGCCGUUCGAGUUUAGUUUCGUUUCUCCCCAUGUGGGUGUUUAUCUUUAGGUUGUUGUGGCUGUGUUCUCUGUCUCAGUAAUCAGGUUUCUCCCCUCCAUAGUUGCGUAGGGCCUGUGUGACCUCCAUUUCUAAUAACUGCAUUUAUAUUAACAUUACUGUGUGUUUAUCCUCAGGUUGCUGUGGCUGGUUCUCUGGCUCAGUAGUCAGGUUUCUCCCCUCCAUAGCUGUGUAGGGCCUGUGUGACUGUCAGUUUUAAUAACUGCAUUUAUAGUAACAUUAGUGUGUGUGCGGAACAUAUUUUUGUACCAGAAUAAAAAAUUGUAUUUAUAUUUUUCUAAACACGCCUCUGUAUUCAUUUGUGCACGUACCUGUGUUUAGUAGGGGAAACCCUCUGUUGAGAGGCAGGAUUGUUAACAUUCUUAGGGUGAAAGUCCCUCGGUGGUGUUGUCGGUUCCAUGUUAAAAGAAACCAGAAGACCCUCACCAGUCCUAACUUGGUUACACCCUCACUGAAUUUUGAUAGAGGAGUAGCUGAUGCUUACAAAUGCAAGGAAUUAGUAAGAAUAGUAGAUGCACAAUUGCCACAAGGGCAUCUGUAGAGGCAGGAGUCACACAAAAGCUCCAGAGUGUUUACAUAAAACUUCCUCAAUAGUUCAUGUAACAGAGCAACAUCUCUAUCCCGCUAACAGCGGCCUUUGGUCAUCACUUCGACAGAU